rnacentral:rRNA from 1 species
CCCGAUAGAACACUAUGCCUGGAAUGGUUUGUGUUUGAAAUGAUUUAUCGCCGUAGGAUGGGACUGCGGCCUAUCAGUUUGUUGGUGAGGUAAAUGGCCCACCAAGACUAUUACAGGUACGGGCUCUGAGAGGAGUGGCCCGGAGAUGGGUACUGAGACACGGACCCAGGCCCUAUGGGGCGCAGCAGGCGAGAAAACUUUGCAAUGUGCGAAAGCACGACAAGGUUAAUCCGAGUGGUUUCUGCUAAAGAGACCUUUUGUUAGUCCUAGAAACACUGAUGAAUAAGGGGUGGGCAAGUUCUGGUGUCAGCCGCCGCGGUAAAACCAGCACCUCAAGUGGUCAGGAUGAUUAUUGGGCCUAAAGCAUCCGUAGCCGGCUGUGUAAGUUUUCGGUUAAAUCUGUGCGCUUAACGUACAGGCUGCCGGAAAUACUGUACAGCUAGGAAGUGGGAGAGGUAGACGGUACUCGGUAGGAAGGGGUAAAAUCCUUUGAUCUAUUGAUGACCACCUGUGGCGAAGGCGGUCUACCAGAACACGUUCGACGGUGAGGGAUGAAAGCUGGGGGAGCAAACCGGAUUAGAUACCCGGGUAGUCCCAGCUGUAAACUAUGCAAACUCAGUGAUGCAUUGGCUUGUGGCCAAUGCAGUGCUGCAGGGAAGCCGUUAAGUUUGCCGCCUGGGAAGUACGUACGCAAGUAUGAAACUUAAAGGAAUUGGCG